rnacentral:rRNA from 1 species
UAGGGAAUCUUCGGCAAUGGACGGAAGUCUGACCGAGCAACGCCGCGUGAGUGAAGAAGGUUUUCGGAUCGUAAAGCUCUGUUGUUAGAGAAGAACGUUGGUAGGAGUGGAAAAUCUACCAAGUGACGGUAACUAACCAGAAAGGGACGGCUAACUACGUGCCAGCAGCCGCGGUAAUACGUAGGUCCCGAGCGUUGUCCGGAUUUAUUGGGCGUAAAGCGAGCGCAGGCGGUUCUUUAAGUCUGAAGUUAAGGGCAGUGGCUUAACCAUUGUACGCUUUGGAAACUGGAGGACUUGAGUGCAGAAGGGGAGAGUGGAAUUCCAUGUGUAGCGGUGAAAUGCGUAGAUAUAUGGAGGAACACCGGUGGCGAAAGCGGCUCUCUGGUCUGUAACUGACGCUGAGGCUCGAAAGCGUGGGGAGCAAACAGGAUUAGAUACCCUGGUAGUCCACGCCGUAAACGAUGAGUGCUAGGUGUUAGGCCCUUUCCGGGGCUUAGUGCCGCAGCUAACGCAUUAAGCACUCCGCCUGGGGAGUACGACCGCAAGGUUG